rnacentral:rRNA from 1 species
AUACGUAGGGUGCGAGCGUUGUCCGGAAUUACUGGGCGUAAAGAGCUCGUAGGUGGUUUGUCGCGUCGUCUGUGAAAUUCCGGGGCUUAACUCCGGGCGUGCAGGCGAUACGGGCAUAACUUGAGUACUGUAGGGGAGACUGGAAUUCCUGGUGUAGCGGUGAAAUGCGCAGAUAUCAGGAGGAACACCGGUCGCGAAGGCGGGUCUCUGGGCAGUAACUGACGCUGAGGAGCGAAAGCAGGGGUAGCGAACAGGAUUAGAUACCCUGGUAGUCCAUGCCGUAAACGGUGGGCGCUAGGUGUAGGGGUCUUCCACGACUUCUGUGCCGUAGCUAACGCAUUAAGCGCCCCGCCUGGGGAGUACGGCCGCAAGGCUAAAACUCAAAUGAAUCGGCGGGG